AGAUAUUUAUAUUAUUAAUAGGAAAGUCAUAAAUAUAUAAAUUAUAUUAUAUAAUUAAUAUAAUAAUAAAAUAAAUUAUAUAUUUUAUUUAUAAUAUUAUUUCUUUAUAAGAUAAAUAUUAUCUAAUUAAUAAUUAGAUUGAAUAAUAUUUAUAAAGAAAUAUAUAUAUAUAUAAAAAGUCAUUAUAUAAAUUUAAUUAUAAUUUAAAUAAAUUUUAUAUAAAUUAAUAUAAUAUUAAUAAAGUAAUUAGUAUAAAUAAAUAAUAUGAAAAUAAAACUUAAUAAAUAUAUAAAUAUAGUCCAUAUAUAUAUAUUAAUAAAAAGUAAUAUAUAUAUAUAUUGGAAUAGUUAUAUUAUUAUACAGAAAUAUGCUUAAUUAUAAUAUAAUAUCCA
rnacentral:RNase_MRP_RNA from 1 species